AUGUAUCUCAAUCCUUCUCUUAAAGAUACUUUUUCAGGUUUGGAUUCCCAUGCCACGUGUUUCCUAAGGGUUUUUCUCCUAAGUAAUUCCCAUUGCACUGAGUGGAGUUACUGCCUCCUCCAUCUGAACCUGCUCUCAGCUUCUGAUAAACCCAGCAACUCGUUGUCCAGCUUCCUGUUCCUGAUAUGCAGAACACAUGUCAGAACAACUGGCCUAAUGAGAGAUGAAAAAUGGACAUGGCCAGGUCUGGUUCUGGAAACUGCAACACUUAGUGAGGCAUCAAAUAACAUCUACAGGAAUGUCCAGCUGAAGAGCAAAAAACACCCAAUCCUGCUUGGAAAGGAUGUAUGUUUGCCUUCAACUUGUGGAUACACGACAACAUACACCUUCUACCUAGGAAAACUCCUGUACUGAAAUACGUCUCCAUCCAAGAAGACUACCUGAGUAUCAACAAGUGUGCCACAG
rnacentral:lncRNA from 1 species